CCUUUCCUGCCAGUUUGGACUCCAGGAUCUCCCAUUCAGAGUCUGCCUUCAUGCGCCGGUAGGACUGCAGCAUGCAGUAAAGUUUCACAGCUCUUGCAUGUUGACAAUAAUGCUGCAGCAUUGAAAGGCCUGUGACAUGGCCAAAUGCCACAUGAGUCCCAUGAUGACGUGUAAUGUAGGGACCCAAUGCCACAUACAAGGCAGCACAGGUAGGAGGCACCUGGAGGGCAAAGUCAGAUCUGUCGAUGGCAUGUUCCGAGAAGGCAGCAGCCCGUAGCGAGGCCGCUCCUCGGAGCUCUGCUGGUGUGGUUGCCACGCGGAUAUGUAAAACAUUCACCUCACUAUCUGUCUGGGAACGACACCGCUGUGACUUUGCAUAUGAGGGUUGUGUUAAUGGUCCAAAAACCGAUCUGGAGACCCCACCGGGCUGGUGGGCAAUGCGACAAUUGUAAUUCGAUGCAAACAUAUGCGUUGUAAUGUUCAGGCACGAUCAAAGUGCUCCCUUGGACACUAGCGACACACAGAGUUCACCAAUCAUGUCUUCUGUAAAACUUCAGCACGUUUGCAUGUAUUGAAAUUGACGAGAUGCCUAGCGGUGUGCAAUGGGUGGCAGCUACAUCUGACAUUCUGAUCUGGGAAAGGCCACCACUGCAUCCAAU
rnacentral:lncRNA from 1 species